CUUCCUCUCCCUGGUCCCCUCACGCAAACAAGUUCCAGCUCCCAUUGUCACAUUGUCGGUCACCCUCUCAGUGCCCCUCACCGGGACCAGCCCAGCCUCCCGGUGUUCCUUUCUCUGGCCACAGCCUCUGGGCUCUGCCGCCCAGGUGGAAGGAUCUGUCUAAGACGGUUCAUUUCCUAGCUUGAAAACUUCUGCUGACUUCCAACAUCAUCCCUCUCCAGGAGACAGAUUCCAAUAGAGGGCAUCCUGGAAUAUGCCUGACCCGUACUCUUUGCAGCUAUCAGAGUCAUGAAAAACGAGGAAAGCCUGAGGAAAUGCCAGAGCCAAGAGGAGCCUAAGGAGGCACGGCAACUAAACGGAAUGUGGGGUCCUGGAACAGAAAAAGGACGACAGGGAAACUGAAUACAUCUGAAUAAAGCAUGAAGUUCGGUUCA